AGUGAACGCUGGCGGUAGGCCUAACACAUGCAAGUCGAACGGCAGCACAGGAGAGCUUGCUCUCUGGGUGGCGAGUGGCGGACGGGUGAGGAAUACAUCGGAAUCUACUCUGUCGUGGGGGAUAACGUAGGGAAACUUACGCUAAUACCGCAUACGACCUACGGGUGAAAGCAGGGGACCUUCGGGCCUUGCGCGAUUGAAUGAGCCGAUGUCGGAUUAGCUAGUUGGCGGGGUAAAGGCCCACCAAGGCGACGAUCCGUAGCUGGUCUGAGAGGAUGAGCAGCCACACUGGAACUGAGCAACGGUCCAGACUCCUACGGGAGGCAGCAGUGGGGAAUAUUGGACAAUGGGCGCAAGCCUGAUCCAGCCAUACCGCGUGGGUGAAGAAGGCCUUCGGGUUGUAAAGCCCUUUUGUUGGGAAAGAAAUCCAGCUGGCUAAUACCCGGUUGGGAUGACGGUACCCAAAGAAUAAGCACCGGCUAACUUCGUGCCAGCCGCCGCAGUAA
rnacentral:rRNA from 1 species